UACAGAGGGGGCAAGCGUUGUUCGGAAUUACUGGGCGUAAAGGGCGCGUAGGCGGCCUUCUAAGUCGAACGUGAAAUCCCUGGGCUCAACCCAGGAACUGCGUCCGAUACUGGGAGGCUUGAAUUCGGGAGAGGGAUGCAGAAUUCCAGGUGUAGCGGUGAAAUGCGUAGAUAUCUGGAGGAAUACCGGUGGCGAAGGCGGCAUCCUGGACCGACAUUGACGCUGAGGAGCGAAAGCUAGGGGAGCAAACAGG
rnacentral:rRNA from 1 species